rnacentral:rRNA from 1 species
AGAGUUUGAUCCUGGCUCAGAACGAACGCUGGCGGCAUGCCUAACACAUGCAAGUCGAACGAGUGCCUUCGGGUGCUAGUGGCGCACGGGUGCGUAACGCGUGGGAAUCUGCCCCUUGGUACGGGAUAACAGCGGGAAACUGCUGCUAAUACCGUAUGACGACGAGAGUCCAAAGAUUUAUCGCCGAGGGAUGAGCCCGCGUAGGAUUAGCUAGUUGGUGGGGUAAAGGCCUACCAAGGCUACGAUCCUUAGCUGGUCUGAGAGGAUGAUCAGCCACACUGGGACUGAGACACGGCCCAGACUCCUACGGGAGGCAGCAGUGGGGAAUAUUGGACAAUGGACGCAAGUCUGAUCCAGCAAUGCCGCGUGAGUGAUGAAGGCCUUAGGGUUGUAAAGCUCUUUUACCCGGGAAGAUAAUGACUGACCGGAGAAU